rnacentral:misc_RNA from 1 species
GAUGAAGAACGCAGCGAAAUGCGAUAAGUAGUGUGAAUUGCAGAAUUCAGUGAAUCAUCGAAUCUUUGAACGCACAUUGCGCCCUUUGGUAUUCCAAAGGGCAUGCCUGUUCGAGCGUCAUUUGUACCCUCAAGCUUUGCUUGGUGUUGGGCGUCUUGUCUCUAGCUUUGCUGGAGACUCGCCUUAAAGUAAUUGGCAGCCGGCCUACUGGUUUCGGAGCGCAGCACAAGUCGCACUCUCUAUCAGCAAAGGUCUAGCAUCCAUUAAGCCUUUUUUUCAACUUUUGACCUCGGAUCAGGUAGGGAUACCCGCUGAACUUAAGCAUAUCAAGAAGCGGAGGA